rnacentral:rRNA from 1 species
UACGUAGGGGGCAAGCGUUUGUCCGGAUUUAUUGGGCGUAAAGAGCGUGUAGGCGGCUAGAUAGGUCCGUUGUGAAAACUCGAGGCUCAACCUCGAGACGUCGAUGGAAACCAUCUGGCUAGAGUCCGGAAGAGGAGAGUGGAAUUCCACGUGUAGCAGUGAAAUGCGUAGAUAUCGGGAGGAACACCAGUGGCGAAAGCGGCUACCUGGCCCAUCCUUGACGCUGAGGCGCGAAAGCUAGGGGAGCAAACGGG